CAGCAGCCGCGGUAAUACGUAGGGUGCAAGCGUUAAUCGGAAUUACUGGGCGUAAAGCGUGCGUAGGUGGUGGUUUAAGUCCGUUGUGAAAGCCCUGGGCUCAACCUGGGAAUUGCAGUGGAUACUGGGUCACUAGAGUGUGGUAGAGGAUAGUGGAAUUUCCGGUGUAGCAGUGAAAUGCGUAGAGAUCUGGAGGAAUACCGAUGGCGAAGGCAGCCAUCUGGCCUAAUACUGACGCUGAGGUACGAAAGCAUGGGGAGCAAACAGGAUUAGAUACCCGUGUAGUCCCUGUCUCUUAUAC
rnacentral:rRNA from 1 species